CGCUAUGGAGUCAAGGGUAUUGACCGGUCAGUUGCAACCUGAUUGUAGAGGGUUCAACUCCCUACAUAGUGU
rnacentral:tRNA from 1 species